rnacentral:snRNA from 1 species
GUGCUUUCUUUGGCAGCACAUAUACUAAAAUUGGAACGAUACAGAGAAAAUUAGCAUGGCCCCUCUGCAAGGAUGACACCCAAAUUUGUGACGCAUUCCAUGUUUUU